UGGGGAAUAUUGCACAAUGGGCGCAAGCCUGAUGCAGCCAUGCCGCGUGUAUGAAGAAGGCCUUCGGGUUGUAAAGUACUUUCAGCGGGGAGGAAGGGAGUAAAGUUAAUACCUUUGCUCAUUGACGUUACCCGCAGAAGAAGCACCGGCUAACUCCGUGCCAGCAGCCGCGGUAAUACGGAGGGUGCAAGCGUUAAUCGGAAUUACUGGGCGUAAAGCGACGCAGGCGGUUUGUUAAGUCAGAUGUGAAAUCCCCGGGCUCAACCUGGGAACUGCAUCUGAUACUGGCAAGCUUGAGUCUCGUAGAGGGGGGUAGAAUUCCAGGUGUAGCGGUGAAAUGCGUAGAGAUCUGGAGGAAUACCGGUGGCGAAGGCGGCCCCCUGGACGAAGACUGACGCUCAGGUGCGAAAGCGUGGGGAGCAAACAGG
rnacentral:rRNA from 1 species